rnacentral:lncRNA from 1 species
CGGUUGCGGCACUAAGUCAACAGAACGACUCAAUGUCGUAGACAGAAUGACUAAAGGCCAUAAAUAUCGCAGCAACGCUGCCAGUUAACAGAACGUGUAUAAGCCAUAAGUAUCGCAGAAAGGCUGAAAGCCUUGGACAGAACGGCUACUGGUCGUACACUUCCUCCGUCAAUAAUAACCUAACCCCAUGCAGUAUGUCAUGUCAUAAAUAAUACGUGUAUGCAAAGUCAUACUCAGUACAAUCAUAUAUGU